AUAUAUGUCAGUAUAGGUUAAAAGGAAGUAAUUAAAGACGACUGGCGCCACCUAGAUUUCACACCCAAGAUAAUAGGUAAAAUAUACAUCAGAUGAUACAGACUUAGAGGAUUCUGUCAGAGAAAUGAAUCAACUUGAUGUUGACGUUACCCUACUGGAUAUGAAAAAUGAAAUGUUAGCAUCUCUUAAAGUUGACUGAGCAAGAUGAAAAACGCACUUGAAUCUGUAACCAGUUUAGAACUCUCAAAGUG